UGCUCCGUGGUUCAAUGGUAGAAUAGCGCACUGUUAAUGCGAUGGUUGCUGGUUCGAGUCCAGCCGGAGCAG
rnacentral:tRNA from 7 species